AUGCAAGUCGAGGGGUAACGAUGUCUUCGGACAGGCGACGACCGGCGCACGGGUGAGUAUCGCGUUUGUAACCUACCCUUUAACUGGAGAAUAGCCCGAAGAAAUUCGGAUUAAUACUCCAUAACACUAUGAUCUGGCAUCUUAUUAUAGUUAAAGCUCCGGCGGUUAAAGAUGGGCAUGCGUAACAUUAGAUAGUUGGUGAGGUAACGGCUCACCAAGUCUACGAUGUUUAGGGGGUCUGAGAGGAUGGUCCCCCACACUGGUACUGAGACACGGACCAGACUCCUACGGGAGGCAGCAGUGAGGAAUAUUGGUCAAUGGGCGCAAGCCUGAACCAGCCAUGCCGCGUGAAGGAUGACAGCGCUACGCGUUGUAAACUUCUUUUGUACAGGAAGAAACGCUUCUACGUGUAGAAGUCUGACGGUACUGUACGAAUAAGCAUCGGCUAACUCCGUGCCAGCAGCCGCGGUAAUACGGAGGAUGCAAGCGUUAUCCGGAUUUAUUGGGUUUAAAGGGUACGUAGGCGGAAAAUUAAGUCAGUAGUGAAAUCCUGCAGCUUAACUGUAGAACUGUUAUUGAUACUGGUUUUCUUGAAUAUAGUUGAGGUAGGCGGAAUGUGUAAUGUAGCGGUGAAAUGCUUAGAUAUUACACAGAACACCGAUUGCGAAGGCAGCUUACUAAGCUAUGAUUGACGCUGAGGUACGAAAGCGUGGGGAGCGAACAGGAUUAGAUACCCUGGUAGUCCACGCCGUAAACGAUG
rnacentral:rRNA from 1 species